ACGGAAGGCAGCAGUGAGGAAUAUUGGUCAAUGGACGCAGGUCUGAACCAGCCAAGUCGCGUGAGGGAUGGCGGUCCUAUGGAUUGUAAACCUCUUUUGCCGGGGAGUAACGUGCGGGACGUGUCCCGUAUUGAGAGUACCCGAAGAAAAAGCAUCGGCUAACUCCGUGCCAGCAGCCGCGGUAAUACGGAGGAUGCGAGCGUUAUCCGGAUUUAUUGGGUUUAAAGGGAGCGCAGGCGGCGCGUCAAGUCAGCGGUAAAAUGUCGGGGCUCAACCCCGGCCGGCCGUUGAAACUGCCGUGCUCGAGUUCGUGCGAGGAGAGCGGAAUGCGUGGUGUAGCGGUGAAAUGCAUAGAUAUCACGCAGAACGCCGAUUGCGAAGGCAGCUUACCAGCAUACAACUGACGCUGAUGCACGAAAGCGUGGGUAUCAAACAGGAUUAGAUACCCUGGUA
rnacentral:rRNA from 1 species